rnacentral:rRNA from 1 species
AACGUAGGAGCCUAGCGUUAUCCGAAUUCACUGGGCGUAAAGCGCGUGCAGGCGGUUCGGUAAGUUGGAUGUGAAAUCUCCUGGCUCAACUGGGAGAGGACGUUCAAGACUGUCGGACUAGAGGACGGUAGAGGAAGGUAGAAUUCCCGGUGUAGUGGUGAAAUGCGUAGAUAUCGGGAGGAAUACCAGUGGCGAAGGCGGCCUUCUCGGGCCGUUCCGUGACGCUCAGACGCGAAAGCUAGGGGAGCAAACGGG